UCGGAUGUGGUGCACGGUGCGCAUCAGCUCAUUAUAAUACUCUUUCCACUCCAAGCUGAAGAUCGGGGUUCGACUCCCGGCAUCCGAA